AUUGAACGCUGGCGGCAGGCUUUACACAUGCAAGUCGAGCGGCAGCGGGGGCUUCGGCCUUGGAGCCAGUGGCGGACGGGUGAGUAAUGCAUCGGAAAGUGCCCGGUAGUGGGGGAUAGCCCGGGGAAAGGCGGAUUAAUACCGCAUACGACCUGAGGGUGAAAGUGGGGGAUCUUAAGGCCUCACGCUAUCAGAACAGCCGAGGUCGGAUUAGCUAGUUGGUGGGGUAAAGGCUUACCAAGGCGACGAUCCGUAGCUGGUCUGAGAGGAUGAUCAGUCACACUAGAACUGAGACACGGCCCAGACUCCUACGGGAGGCAGCAGUGGGGAAUUUUGGACAAUGGGGGCAACCCUGAUCCAGCCAUGCCGCGUGCGGGAAGAAGGUCUUCGGGUUGUAAACCGCUUUUGUUUGGGAAGAAAGCCAGUGAGCUAAUACCCUGGGGGGUUGACGGUACCGUAAGAAUAAGCACCGGCUAACUACGUG
rnacentral:rRNA from 1 species